rnacentral:rRNA from 1 species
UACGUAGGGUGCGAGCGUUGUCCGGAAUUACUGGGCGUAAAGAGCUCGUAGGUGGUUUGUCGCGUUGUUCGUGAAAACUCACAGCUUAACUGUGGGCGUGCGGGCGAUACGGGCAGACUUGGAGUACUGCAGGGGAGACUGGAAUUCCUGGUGUAGCGGUGGAAUGCGCAGAUAUCAGGAGGAACACCGGUGGCGAAGGCGGGGUCUCUGGGGCCGAUACUGACGCUGAGGAGCGAAAGCAUGGGUAGCGAACAGG